rnacentral:rRNA from 1 species
AUACGUAGGGGGCGAGCGUUGUCCGGAAUGAUUGGGCGUAAAGGGCGCGUAGGCGGCCCGGUAAGUCUGGAGUGAAAGUCCUGUUUUUAAGAUGGGAAUUGCUUUGGAUACUGUCGGGCUUGAGUGCUGGAGAGGUAAGUGGAAUUCCCAGUGUAGCGGCGAAAUGCGUAGAGAUUGGGAGGAACACCAGUGGCGAAGGCGACUUACUGGACUGUAACUGACGCUGAGGCGCGAAAGUGUGGGGAGCAAACAGGAUUAGAUACCCUGGUAGUCCACACUGUAAGCGAUGAAUGCUAGGUAUAGGGGGUAUCGACCCCUUCUGUGCCGCAGUCAACACAAUAAGCAUUCCGCCUGGGGAGUACGGCCGCAAGGUUGAAACUCAAAGGAAUUGACGGGG